UACGUAGGGUGCAAGCGUUUGUCCGGAAUUAUUGGGCGUAAAGAGCUCGUAGGCGGUCUGUCGCGUCUGGUGUGAAAACUCAGGGCUUAACCCUGAGCUUGCAGCUGAUACGGGCAGGCUUGAGUUCGGUAGGGGAGACUGGGAAUUCCUGGUGUAGCGGUGAAAUGCGCAGAUAUCAGGAGGAACACCGGUGGCGAAGGCGGGUCUCUGGGCCGAUACUGACGUGAGGAGCGAAAGCGUGGGGAGCGAACAGG
rnacentral:rRNA from 1 species